UGGGGAAUUUUGGACAAUGGGCGAAAGCCUGAUCCAGCCAUGCCGCGUGCAGGAUGAAGGCCUUCGGGUUGUAAACUGCUUUUGUACGGAACGAAAAGACUCCUUCUAAUAAAGGGGGUCCAUGACGAUGCCGUAAGAAUAAGCACCGGCUAACUACGUGCCAGCAGCCGCGGUAAUACGUAGGGUGCGAGCGUUAAUCGGAAUUACUGGGCGUAAAGCGUGCGCAGGCGGUUAUAUAAGACAGUUGUGAAAUCCCCGGGCCCAACCUGGGAACUGCAUCUGUGACUGUAUAGCUAGAGUACGGUAGAGGGGGAUGGAAUUCCGCGUGUAGCAGUGAAAUGCGUAGAUAUGCGGAGGAACACCGAUGGCGAAGGCAAUCCCCUGGACCUGUACUGACGCUCAUGCACGAAAGCGUGGGGAGCAAACA
rnacentral:rRNA from 1 species